GCAGGAUGAUGUUGAAUUGUCACAAGAAGUUCUCCUCUUUGGUUUCAUGGUCCCGGUUUUAAGCUUGGUCAUUUCCUUCGUAUUUACUUUGUUGUUGCACAAUGUACACAUCUGAAUUCACCAUUGUUGAAUCAAUUUGACUUCUGUUGAUGGUUCGCUGUGUUUUGAGAUUUUUGAUUUCUUUUUUUUUGUCCGAUGAAAUCACGAGAGCUUCUAAUUAGCAAACUUACUUUAUGCCGUCCAUAUGGCUUUUUAUUCAUCAACCCAUGCAAACUAAUCAAACAAAUUGUACGUUCAUUAAGUUAUCUUACCCACGCAUUUACAAAAUCGGUAUGACCCUUUGUUGAAGGUUUCAAAAUCAUAUGUCUAGACUCUAGAGUAACACGUAGAUACCACGAAUCCACGAUUGUGGAGCGGUAAAUCAAUCGAUCGAAGGUUAAUUUUUGUGUCCUCUGCCCAUCUAAACAUGCCUUUUAUUUCAUUUGCUUUCUUGUGAGGAUUGAAUCAAGGGAAAUGCAGCAGCACAAGAAAAAUCAGUAGAAUUUGACUACUACACAUUGUCUUGAGAGAUAUCGAGGUGGAAGAAACCAUGAACUAACCCGGAGGACAAGAU
rnacentral:lncRNA from 1 species